rnacentral:rRNA from 1 species
GAUCCUGGCUCAGAUUGAACGCUGGCGGCAGGCCUAACACAUGCAAGUCGAACGGUAACAGGAAACAGCUUGCUGUUUCGCUGACGAGUGGCGGACGGGUGAGUAAUGUCUGGGAAACUGCCUGAUGGAGGGGGAUAACUACUGGAAACGGUAGCUAAUACCGCAUAACGUCGCAAGACCAAAGAGGGGGGACCUUCGGGCCGUCUUGCCAUCGGAUGUGCCCACGAUGGGAUUAGCUAGUAGGUGGGG